rnacentral:rRNA from 1 species
AGUGAACGCUGGCGGUAGGCCUAACACAUGCAAGUCGAACGGCAGCACAGUAAGAGCUUGCUCUUACGGGUGGCGAGUGGCGGACGGGUGAGGAAUACAUCGGAAUCUACUUUUUCGUGGGGGAUAACGUAGGGAAACUUACGCUAAUACCGCAUACGACCUACGGGUGAAAGCAGGGGAUCUUCGGACCUUGCGCGGUUGAAUGAGCCGAUGUCGGAUUAGCUAGUUGGCGGGGUAAAGGCCCACCAAGGCGACGAUCCGUAGCUGGUCUGAGAGGAUGAUCAGCCACACUGGAACUGGGACACGGUCCAGACUCCUACGGGAGGCAGCAGUGGGGAAUAUUGGACAAUGGGCGCAAGCCUGAUCCAGCCAUACCGCGUGGGUGAAGAAGGCCUUCGGGUUGUAAAGCCCUUUUGUUGGGAAAGAAAAGCAGCAGGUUAAUACCCCGCUGUUCUGACGGUACCCAAAGAAUAAGCACCGGCUAACUUCGUG